UACAGAGGGUGCAAACGUUGCUCGGAAUUAUUGGGCGUAAAGCGUGCGUAGACGGUUAUUUAAGUCAGGUGUGAAAGCCCCGGGCUCAACCUGGGAAUUGCAUUUGAGACUGAAUAGCUAGGGUGCGGAAGAGGGAAGCGGAAUUUCCGGUGUAGCGGUGAAAUGCGUAGAUAUCGGAAGGAACACCAGUGGCGAAAGCGGCUUCCUGGUCCAGCACCGACGUUCAGGCACGAAAGCGUGGGGAGCAAACAGG
rnacentral:rRNA from 1 species